CAGCAUGCAGGCUGUGUGGAAAGUUUCCACGGGCCACACAACCGGCGCGUUUGGUAGCCUGCCUGACGAGGAUCUCCACCCCUAUCGAGCCGAUUUUCCACGUGGAAACGAGUCCGACCUCCAAACAUCGGGCGUCCUUCCCCGUCUGGAUUCGACUCUGCCUCAUCGACUCGACACUCCCCCGAAACCCAUCGCCACCACUGCACUCUCCUCCUCCUCCGCCGCCGCGCGCCGCCUUGGUCGCACUCUCCUCCUCCUUCCCCGCCACCACCGCGCGUACGCGCUUUCCUCCUCCUCCUCCCCGGCCACCGCGGCGGCACUCUCCUCUAUCGCCACCGCUCGUCGCCUUGCUGUACUCUUCUCCAUCGCCACCACAUCAGAUCAUGGGGAAGAAGAGCUGCAGCCUCGAAUAGAUGACAAUCUGAGGCAGUUGGUUGUGGGAGUGGAAGGAUCUUAUCUUAUCACUUAAGCGGCAUGUCGUCAAGAUCUGCUAGGUGGGCUUGUUCCUGCAGUUCGCUUUGCUUGUUUGUUUGUCAAGCUGUCGUAUCAUGUGCAUGCAGGCUUGUGAUGCUGUAUCAUGUGUAUGCAGUAGUCUGGUGAGGCGGCCGGCUGGCCGGCGGUGUGCAUUUUGUUUUAUCCUGAUCCAUCGAACCAGCUACUACUACUAAUUGCUGGUGGCUUGGCUUAAAAUAUUAGUGCAUUUGCGUGCUUGGUGGGAACCAAUGCAUGAUCUUAGAGAAGUGAAGUUUUACAUAUCUAUGAUGAAUCAACAUGGCAGUUGAUUGUUAACGGCGCUACAAGUCCUCUUGAUUCUUUGCAGUUGUGUUAUUUGUAUGCAUGCAAAUAUCUGAUAUGGCGGGAUGAUACAAAUCUGUUAGAUGCAUGCUUUUGAUAGCCGUUAAUCUUUGUUUUUUAAUUUUGUAUGUACGGCAAACUAUUUCCUACAUUCUGUAACCGUGGCAUCCGCUGCCAGAGAAGAUACACAUG